rnacentral:rRNA from 1 species
AUUGAACGCUGGCGGCAGGCCUAACACAUGCAAGUCGAACGGUAACAGGAAGCAGCUUGCUGCUUCGCUGACGAGUGGCGGACGGGUGAGUAAUGUCUGGGAAGCUGCCUGAUGGAGGGGGAUAACUACUGGAAACGGUAGCUAAUACCGCAUAAUGUCGCAAGACCAAAGAGGGGGACCUUCGGGCCUCUUGCCAUCGGAUGUGCCCAGAUGGGAUUAGCUUGUUGGUGGGGUAACGGCUCACCAAGGCGACGAUCCCUAGCUGGUCUGAGAGGAUGACCAGCCACACUGGGACUGAGACACGGUCCAGACUCCUACGGGAGGCAGCAGUGGGGAAUAUUGCACAAUGGGCGCAAGCCUGAUGCAGCCAUGCCGCGUGUAUGAAGAAGGCCUUCGGGUUGUAAAGUACUUUCAGCGGGGAGGAAGGGAGUAAAGUUAAUACCUUUGCUCAUUGACGUUACCCGCAGAAGAAGCACCGGCUAACUCCGU